AUUGCUUCUUGGCCUUUUGCCUAAGAUCAAGCAUCAAUUCACUUUAAUAUUGGAUACGUCCUCUAUCCGAGGACAAUCUAUUAAAUGGCUUUUGGAGCUGGGAGGUGGAAUAGGAGCUUGCUCCAUCCACUAUGCGCAUCGACCUGGUAUUGUAAUGCCUCCAAGAACAGUAUACUCCCA
ensembl:snRNA U2 U2 spliceosomal RNA